GAUGAACGCUGGCGGCGUGCUUAACACAUGCAAGUCGAACGGGAAUUAUUUUAUUGAAACUUCGGUCGAUUUAAUUUAAUUCUAGUGGCGGACGGGUGAGUAACGCGUGGGUAACCUGCCUUAUACAGGGGGAUAACAGUCAGAAAUGGCUGCUAAUACCGCAUAAGCGCACAGAGCUGCAUGGCUCAGUGUGAAAAACUCCGGUGGUAUAAGAUGGACCCGCGUUGGAUUAGCUGGUUGGUGGGGUAACGGCCCACCAAGGCGACGAUCCAUAGCCGGCCUGAGAGGGUGAACGGCCACAUUGGGACUAAGACACGGCCCAGACUCCUACGGGAGGCAGCAGUGGGGAAUAUUGCACAAUGGGGGAAACCCUGAUGCAGCGACGCCGCGUGAAGGAAGAAGUAUCUCGGUAUGUAAACUUCUAUCAGCAGGGAAGAUAGUGACGGUACCUGACUAAGAAGCCCCGGCUAACUACGUG
rnacentral:rRNA from 1 species